CAGGUGUAAAAGUAAAAUUUGAAGAAACCUUAAAGUCAUUUUGGCCCAAAUACUUCAGGGAGAAAAAUGACCCUUCAAGACACAGGACAAACAUGGAAGUACCUCACAGGAUUGACUGUGGCUAUUCUGCUUAUGCAUGUUUGUGUGGUAAAAACACUUGAUUUCCCAGAAACACGCAUGGAUUCACAGUUUAGCUACACAGAUUGGCUACAGCAUCAUAUAAAAAAAAGAGACACAGUAAAACCAACAACUACAACAAUGACGAUGACAAAAAUAAAACGCACACCAAAAUCAACA